UACAGAGGGGGCAAGCGUUGUUCGGAAUUACUGGGCGUAAAGGGCGCGUAGGCGGCCUGUUAAGUCGAACGUGAAAUCCCCGGGCUCAACCCGGGAACUGCGUCCGAUACUGGUGGGCUUGAAUCCGGGAGAGGGAUGUGGAAUUCCAGGUGUAGCGGUGAAAUGCGUAGAUAUCUGGAGGAACACCGGUGGCGAAGGCGGCAUCCUGGACCGGUAUUGACGCUGAUGCGCGAAAGCCAGGGGAGCAAACGGG
rnacentral:rRNA from 1 species